rnacentral:lncRNA from 1 species
UGUGUGUGUGUGUGUGUGUGUGUGUGUGUGUCUGCUGUGUCCCCUGCAGGAAUUUUAAGAAAGGGAAACUAAACCUUUCUUUCUUCUUUUUCUUCUUUUUCUUCCCAUCAUUGAAUUUUACAGGGUUGAGAUGUGGGUCUGAAUGGCAAAAAUGAAGGCUGCAGAUAUGAAACGUAUCUGACUUCACAAAACAUGCCUCUUUUUGGAGUGAUUGUGCAGAAGUGCCUUACUGAUGAAAACAUCAAAAUGUAGAACAGUUAAGAUAAGAAGCAGUCAGGAUACUAACUCCAAUUCAUCUAACAAGACAGACAAGAUUAAACCACCCGUUACCGAGAAGGUUGAAGGAGCGCUGUAGGAGAGUAUCAGCACCAGGUGGGGACACUAUUCUUCUACUUUAUAAAAACAUCUGGAAAGAGAGGUAAGUGCUCUCCCAUGACUGCUCAACCUUGGAAGUUAAAAUGUCGG